GAGGAAAGCAGGGGAUCGCAAGACCUUGCGCUUUUGGAGCGGCCGAUGUCUGAUUAGCUAGUUGGUGAGGUAAAGGCUUACCAAGGCGUCGAUCAGUAGCUGGUCUGAGAGGACGACCAGCCACACUGGGACUGAGACACGGCCCAGACUCCUACGGGAGGCAGCAGUGGGGAAUUUUGGACAAUGGGGGAAGCCCUGAUCCAGCCAUGCCGCGUGAGUGAAGAAGGCCUUCGGGUUGUAAAGCUCUUUCAGCCGGAACGAAACGGUCACAGCUAAUACCUGUGGCCACUGACGGUACCGGAAGAAGAAGCACCGGCUAACUACGUGCCAGCAGCCGCGGUAAUACGUAGGGUGCGAGCGUUAAUCGGAAUUACUGGGCGUAAAGCGUGCGCAGGCGGUUUUGUAAGUCAGAUGUG
rnacentral:rRNA from 1 species